UAAAAAUGUCAUUGGGUGGCACACAUGGGGCAAUUCAACUGCUCUUUGGUGGAAUUGACAUCACGAGAUUUCAGAAGCAUAAUUUUUUUGGUACCUGGGCAUUUGGUGAUUUGUUGGUCCCAGUGUCCUU
rfam:Otolemur garnettii contig179042, whole genome shotgun sequence.